GACGAACGCUGGCGGCGUGCCUAAUACAUGCAAGUCGAACGCAUUUUCUUUCACCGUAGCUUGCUACACCGAAAGAAAAUGAGUGGCGAACGGGUGAGUAACACGUGGGUAACCUGCCCAUCAGCGGGGGAUAACACUUGGAAACAGGUGCUAAUACCGCAUAAUUCCAUUUACCGCAUGGUAAAUGGAUGAAAGGCGCUUUUGCGUCACUGAUGGAUGGACCCGCGGUGCAUUAGCUAGUUGGUGGGGUAACGGCCUACCAAGGCUGCGACGCAUAGCCGACCUGAGAGGGUGAUCGGCCACACUGGGACUGAGACACGGCCCAGACUCCUACGGGAGGCAGCAGUAGGGAAUCUUCGGCAAUGGACGCAAGUCUGACCGAGCAACGCCGCGUGAGUGAAGAAGGUUUUCGGAUCGUAAAACUCUGUUGUUAGAGAAGAACAAGGAUGAGAGUGGAAAGUUCAUCCCUUGACGGUAUCUAACCAGAAAGCCACGGCUAACUACGUG
rnacentral:rRNA from 1 species